UACGUAGGGUGCAGGCGUUAAUCGGAAUUACUGGGCGUAAAGCGUACGCAGGCGGUUUGUUAAGACAGAUGUGAAAUCCCCGGGCUUAACCUGGGGACUGCGUUUGUAACUGGCAAGCUAGAGUGUGGCAGAGGGGGGUGGAAUUCCACGUGUAGCAGUGAAAUGCGUAGAGAUGUGGAGGAACACCGAUGGCGAAGGCAGCCCCCUGGGCUAACACUGACGCUCAUGCACGAAAGCGUGGGGAGCAAACAGG
rnacentral:rRNA from 1 species